CCUACGGGGGGCUGCAGUGGGGAAUAUUGGACAAUGGGGGGAACCCUGAUCCAGCCAUGCCGCGUGUGUAAAGAAGGCCCUCGGGUUGUAAAGCACUUUCAGUGAGGAAGAACGCCUGGUGGUUAAUACCCAUCAGGAAAGACAUCACUCACAGAAGAAGCACCGGCUAACUCCGUGCCAGCAGCCGCGGUAAUACGGAGGGUGCGAGCGUUAAUCGGAAUUACUGGGCGUAAAGCGCGCGUAGGUGGCUUGAUAAGCCGGUUGUGAAAGCCCCGGGCUCAACCUGGGAACGGCAUCCGGAACUGUCAAGCUAGAGUGCAGGAGAGGAAGGUAGAAUUCCCGGUGUAGCGGUGAAAUGCGUAGAGAUCGGGAGGAAUACCAGUGGCGAAGGCGGCCUUCUGGACUGACACUGACACUGAGGUGCGAAAGCGUGGGUAGCAAACAGGAUUAGAUACCCCUGUAGUC
rnacentral:rRNA from 1 species